GAUUUUAACAGUUGUAACGAUCGUUGUAUAUUUUCAACACAUUUUUCCUUUAAUAAACUUAUUAUUAUGAUAUGUUUAUAUGUAAUUCUUUGACAUUCUUUUUCUAUAAUUAAUUAGUUUUAAUAUAACUUACUAUUUCCGAGUCAAUCGUAUGAAUCUCCGAUAAUAAUUUUUGAAGUUCUAAUGUUGGAUCGUCCAUAUUUUCUGGAGUAAUUAAAGUUCUCAAUUUCAAUAAAUUUUCUACAUCUUGGCACAGUCCUUGAUAUAAUUGGGCCCAUAACGUAGAGACUUUAAUAUGACCAAGAUCUGUACAUGCAGUCGGAGGGCAUUGCAAUCUGUGUGCCCAAUCGAAGUUAUUCAUUGGAUUGCCCAUAUUUACAAAUUUCUGGAAUUGGAUCAAAAUAAUACUAUCAACUGAAAAAAAAAG